GAUGAAGAACGUAGCGAAAUGCGGUAAGUAAUGUGAAUUGCAGAAUUCAGUGAAUCAUCGAAUCUUUGAACGCACAUUGCGCCCGCUAGUAUUCUGGCGGGCAUGCCUGUUCGAGCGUCAUUUCAACCAUCAAGCCCUGUUUAGGCUUGUGUUGGGGCCCUGCGGUUGCCGCAGCCCCCUAAAUGCAGUGGCGGGCUCGUUGUCACUCCGAGCGCAGUAGCGUAUCUCGCUCUGGGCGUGGCGGCGGGUGCUAGCCGUGAAACACCCACUAAGGUUCACCUCGGAUCAGGUAGGAAUACCCGCUGAACUUAAGCAUAUCAAUAAGCGGAGGA
rnacentral:misc_RNA from 1 species